GUAGGGGGGCAACGGAUCAGCCCGCGUCCAGCUCUCACCAUGUCCGGACGCCUGUGCGUAUCAGCGGCGUAUGUCUGUACUUUCUGGAGUGCAUUCCACUGUGGAAGCUACGUGUCCUCCUACCUGUCCGUCCGGGCUUUUCCCGAGUGCUGCCAUAACGAAACAGUGUCAAGCGGGCGGUUCCCGCCCUGGAUCUCCCAGGGGCGCAAAAUAGAGGCUUCUUUUUCAGGGCGAGAAAGAAACAAGCCAAAUUCGUUUCAAACAAAAUCGGGGAUGUUGGUGAUGGCCCGGUAAAGCCCCCUUGCAUGAUUUUCCCUUCGUCCCUUUAUAAAAUGAUCUCUCGACUGCUUAGUGCCUCUAUUCCGGCCGAUCUCUGCAGGAUUCAAGCUGUGCUUGUUUGUAAACGAAAGCAUCCCGAUCUCAGUGCUUCCUAGACAACCUAAGCAGCUGGAUAGUUCGCAGCCGUAACGCACAGUGACGGGACGGGCAACCGAUCCUCUUCAAAUGUUAUUCUGAGCAGAAACGGGAGAGAAACACAAAUCCCUUCUCCCAUCCCCGACCUCUGCGCACACACACCGUGUGCCUUCUGCUCCCUCCCGUAACGGGGACCGUGGAAAUACAAAAAGGUGCUAGAGAGGUCUGAUUUGCGUCUCCCGCCUCCCCGCUACCAUGCUCGGUCACCCCACGCUUAUUAGGGAUAUACCUGCCUGCUCUUCCUCUCCUUCCAUCUGACAACCACAGUGGUUGAAUCUGAACGGGAGCAGCUGUUCGCCCUACCCGGAAAGGAGAUGUCAAAACCUGUUGCGUGGAUUUAGAUCUGAGAGUCUUCUUAGCACCCUAAAAUGGAUCUUCUUGAUCAGAGAUAGACCAGUGAAAAGAUGUUAGCAGCAGUAUUUGGCAUGUGCUGAAGAAGUCUGAGAACUGGGCCUUAUAGUCAUCAUAAAGUGAACUUCAGCUUCCAAGAAGAGAAGAAAGUAAAGAAGUAUAAUUGGCUGCAGAAUGAACGAGGAUGCUAUGACAGGGGGGAAGGUUUCAGCUAGGAAGAGUUCAAGGAGACAGUGUGCUUGUGGUCACCACAAAAUCCUCUGUGGUCUAGGGCCACAGACAGUGGAGUAAGGAGGUUGGAGCUCUUUUUAUAUUCACACGCUCCUUUUCAAAGGCAAUAGCUGUAUUCUUUUUCUCCAGCUUCAGAAGGUUCUGAAAAUCCCUAUUGGAUGAAUAAGCUGUGGCCAACUCCAACGUAGAAGGGUGCAAUAUAAAUCUAAAGCACAUUGACUAUGUUCAGUAAUUAGAUGGCUUACAGUUUGCCUGACAUUAGUGACUGAUUUGGUUUAGUUUUUCAACUUCACAUGACAAAAAUCUUUAUGUAGAUGAGUGAUGCACCUCUGAUAGAAUUUUGAGAACAUCUGUGGACCUUGUUCCCAUUCUGUUCAAGAUACUUUGUAUUUACCAUCAUUAAUUGUGCAACAUAUUUAACCUUGUAACAUGUCCAGAGACUAGGAAAGACUUUUUCUAGUCUCCUACCUUAGCUGUGUAGUGGGGGAAAUACCCUGAACAUUCAGACGUUAAUGGAGUGAAUCCCAAUAGGUCUGUGAGCGCUGGAUCAGGGUUCUGAAAGAGUAAUGGGGAAAGAGGAUUUGCCAUGAAAUAAGAAGUAGAAGGAGGUUUAUGAAAGUAAAAGUUUGAAAUGGCCUUGAUGAACUUUCCUCAGGCCUCUUCCAAUUAGGCAUCUGGCACACAGAGUGGCAGACCAUCUAGGAUGGCACAGAUCUUGGCAGUAUUAUGGAACUAGUAUUUUCACAAGGAGGAACUGUUCCUGAGCAAUGCAUAAACCUUUUUUCUUCAGUGUCGGGUAGGCAUUUAAGGAAGACAAUUCACAUUAUUAUUAAUUAUGACUCACUUAAAUUGAUUCUAUUCCUUGGGGACAAUAAGAUGAACAUUUAUGUCUCUGGUUACAUCUAUUAGAGUACAGUAAAAACAGCAAAGAGGUGCAAGAUACUGUUCUUGGUGUGUAUUUCCUUUGGGAUAGUCUUUCAAGACUCCAAAGGUGUUGAGAUAUUGUUGAUAUUAUAUAACCUUCAACACUUAAGCAUAUGCAUAUCUUCUGAGAAGUCUUAUUCGAUCUCUGGAGACCCACAAUGUGAUCCUCACUCAGUCAUAAAGGGAACUUUUCUAGGUACUACAGAAGCAGCAAAGUUUAAAUGAUCAUUAUUUGUAGAAUUUGAUGAAGCAGAUGUUUCCUGCCUUAUGUAAAAUAAACAGCUACUUACUGUG